GGGCCUGCACAAGCGGUGGAGUAUGUGGCUUAAUUCGAUGCAACGCGAAGAACCUUACCUGGCCUUGACAUGCAUCUCUAAGCGUGUGAAAGCACGUGACCCCUCGGGGAAUUUGCACAGGUGCUGCAUGGCUGUCGUCAGCUCGUGUCGUGAGAUGUUGGGUUAAGUCCCGCAACGAGCGCAACCCUUGUGUCCUGUUGCCACUUCCGCUAGCGCGGAAAGCACUCUGGACAGACUGCCUCGUCUCAACGAGGAGGAAGGUGGGGAUGACGUCAAGUCAGUAUGGCCCUUACGGCCAGGGCUGCACACGUACUACAAUGCCUGGUACAAUGGGAAGCAAUACCGUGAGGUGGAGCAAAUCCUCAAAACCAGGCCCAGUUCAGAUUGUAGUCUGCAACUCGACUACAUGAAGUCGGAAUCGCUAG
rnacentral:rRNA from 1 species